UGGGAUGAUCUAUCUAAGUAGAUAAUUCUGGAAGCAGUUUGGAGAGAGAGGAUGGAGGUCUCAAAUAUUAAGUGGCAAUUUUAGAUUACACCAGUUUAGACAGCAAAGCCAGAGAAAAUAUGCUGAACAAUAACAGAAAAGGUCUGUGUGUGUUUUUCUUCUAUAGCCAAGGGAUGCACAGGCAGCCCCAAGGCAAUGAUGAUGUCAAAUUUUGUUAGAGAAUUUACUGAAUCUGACUCAGUGAUAGAUGACAAUACAAGACAACAAGAAAGGUAUGUCACAAAGCCCAAAUGACAAAUGUCAAUUGAAUAGUGCAGUUAAGUGCUAAGAGUUCAGAGGAGCUAGUGAUUACCAUGAGCCACAUUGAUCAGGAUUUUACUAGUAAGAUUUUUUUCCUUAAUACUAAGAUGUUAGCUGACAUGCUUUUCUUAUUAUGAUGAUAAAUAUUGUUACAAAUCUGAAACUAGAAUGAGUUGAAUAAGAAAAUACAAAAGACGAAAUUUGAAAUUUCAACUAUCUCUCAGCCUCAGGAUAAGCACUGAGAAGGAAAGAGUCAGUGGAAGUUUCUAGAGCCUCAAGGAUCAGGACCACUGAACUCAGAACAGUAGCGGCCUGUAAGCUCAUCCCUCUUCACAGUAGACCCUGUCUCUGCACUCAUGCUCUACUCUUCCAGCCAACAGGUACUUUUACCACAGGACCACAGUGAAGCUGACCGUGCACUUUCUGGGCUUUUAUAAAUGGGGGGAUAUAAUACUUGGAAAUCCUCAGGUUGCAUUUUUUAAAUUUAGAAUUGACAACACUCAAAAAACUCCACAAACCUAAUGUUCCAAAGAGGUCAGUUUUUUGGGAUGCCUGCCUGUUGCAGUCGGUUAAGCUUCUGACUCUUGGUUUUGGCUUAGGUCAUGAAUUAAGGGUGAAGAGAUCCAGUCCUGGAUGGGGAUCCAUACUCAGUGCAGAGUUUGCUUAAGGCUCUCUCUUUUUAAAAUAUGUCAUCCGUACAACCUUCAUCAGGCCACAGAUACAUUCCUGAUUAGAAACCUCAUUGCCCCACCUUCAGCAGAACAAAAAGCUUUAGCAUUGGCUUGGGGCCCACACAGAAUUAGGGCGUGGUGGUUGUCUUUCUCUGGGCACUGAAUUGUGAGUACAAGUGACAUACAUUCAGUACAAGCAGAAGCCUCUGAAUCACUCGUUGUGGCUUGGCUCUGUCUCCCCACCCUCCCUCUGCCCCGAGAACAGUACGCCCCAAUAGCACCUGCUCCUGCAGCUAGGGCCCCAGGACUGGAAGACGCAUGCACUGGAGUCCCGCCAAGCCCAGUUUAGUCCUGGUGUAACCUGAGCAAGAAAUAUAUAGUUGUGAUUGUAAGCCAGGAAGAUUUUAGAAUAGUUUAUUACAACUAAAUGCAAACUGCAUUUUGGCUCCUAAUUCAAAGAAAACAAUAAAAAAUGAAAUAAUCCCA
rnacentral:lncRNA from 12 species